AGUGUUCGAUUAAGCCAUGCGAGUUAAUGUUCUUCGUGAACAUAGCAGACUGCUCAGUAACACGUGGAUAACCUGCCCUUAGGACUGGCAUAACCCCGGGAAACUGGGGAUAAUUCCGGAUAGAUCAUAAAUGCUGGAAUGCUUUAUGAUUGAAAGGUUUCGACCGCCUUAGGAUGGAUCUGCGGCCUAUCAGGUUGUAGUGGGUGUAAUGUACCUACUAGCCUACGACGGGUACGGGUUGUGGAAGCAAGAGCCCGGAGAUGGAUUCUGAGACAUGAAUCCAGGCCCUACGGGGCGCAGCAGGCGCGAAAACUUUACAAUGCGGGAAACCGUGAUAAGGGAACACUGAGUGCUAGCAUUUAUGUUAGCUGUCCACAUGUGUAAAUAGCAUGUGAUAGCAAGGGCUGGGCAAGACCGGUGCCAGCCGCCGCGGUAACACCGGCAGCCCGAGUGGUGAUCACUAUUAUUGGGUCUAAAGGGUCCGUAGCCGGUUUAAUCAGUCUUCUGGGAAAUCUAAUCGCUUAACUAUUAGGCUUCCAGGGGAUACUGUUAGACUUGGGACCGGGAGAGGUAAGAGGUACUGCAGGGGUAGGAGUGAAAUCUUGUAAUCCCUGUGAGACCACCAGUGGCGAAGGCGUCUUACCAGAACGGGUCCGACGGUGAGGGACGAAAGCUGGGGGCACGAACCGGAUUAGAUACCCGGGUAGUCCCAGCUGUAAACGAUGCUCGUUAGGUGUCAGGAACGGUGCGACUGUUUCUGGUGCCGAAC
rnacentral:rRNA from 1 species